rnacentral:tRNA from 1 species
GGGGAUGUGGCUCAGUGGUAGAGCAUUUGCCUAGCAUGCAAGAAGCCCUGGGUUAGACCCCCAGCACCACAA